AGGGGAUUUUAAAUAAGGGAUCAUGUUGGCUGCCUUGGGCCUAUAUAAAAAAACUUGAUGGCCGAUUCUGAAAGAUGGCGGAUCGAAGCAGAAUGAAAUGGUUUUGUUCCAGAUGGGCCAGUGGACUAGGGAUUAAGGUGGUUCCGGGAAUUUAAGCUAAUAAAAUUCAAUUGGACCUGGGAUUUGGCCUUGGUUGCUGCUUCCGUUCAGGAAAGGUUAUAAAUUCAGAUUGGACCUGGACCGGAAGCUUGAAUGCGGUAUAUGAACCCAAUUAUUGUUCUAAAAACGUAAGUACUAACUAAUACUGAACUUAUCUAAAUCAAAUGAUUAGAUAUUGAAAAUGACUUGUAUCAUCAAAAUUUACUUU